ensembl:lncRNA
UAAAGAGGGAGAGAAGGAGAGAGGUAUUGGGAGAGAAGGAGAGAGGUAAAGAGGGAGAGAAGGAGAGAGGUAAAGAGGGAGAGAAGGAGAGGGGUAAAGAGGGAGAGAAGGAGAGAGGUAAAGAGGAGAGAAGGAGAGGGGUAAAGAGGGAGAGAAGGAGAGAGGUAAAGAGGGAGAGAAGGAGAGAGGUAAAGAGGGAGAGAAGGAGAGGGGUAUUGGGAGAGAAGGAGAGAGGUAAAGAGGGAUAGAAGGAGAGAGUUAAAGAGGGAGAGAAGGAGAGAGGUAAAGAUGGAGAGGAGAGAGGUAAAGAGGGAGAGAAGGAGAGAGGUAAAUAGGGAGAGAAGGAGAAAGGUAAAAAGGGAGAGAAGGAGAGAGUUAAAGAGGGAGAGAAGGAGAGAGGUAAAGAGGGAGAGG